rnacentral:rRNA from 1 species
UACGUAGGGUGCAAGCGUUAAUCGGAAUUACUGGGCGUAAAGCGUGCGCAGGCGGUUGUGCAAGACAGAUGUGAAAUCCCCGGGCUCAACCUGGGAAUUGCAUUUGUGACUGCACGGCUAGAGUGUGUCAGUGGGGGGUAGAAUUCCACGUGUAGCAGUGAAAUGCGUAGAGAUGUGGAGGAAUACCGAUGGCGAAGGCAGCCCCCUGGGAUAACACUGACGCUCAUGCACGAAAGCGUGGGGAGCAAACAGG